rnacentral:misc_RNA from 1 species
GAUGAAGAACGUAGCGAAAUGCGAUAAGUAAUGUGAAUUGCAGAAUUCAGUGAAUCAUCGAAUCUUUGAACGCACCUUGCGCUCCUUGGUAUUCCGAGGAGCAUGCCUGUUUGAGUGUCAUGAAAUUCUCAACCUUUUCAGCUUUCUUUGUUGAUCAGGCUUGGAUGUGGGAGUAUGCGGGCUUCUCAGAAGUCGGCUCUCCUGAAAUGCAUUAGCGGGACCUUUGUUGCCUGGCUUUGGUGUGAUAAUUAUCUACGCCAUUGUAGUCAAGCAGCUUAAAAUGAGGUUUCAGCUUCUAACCGUCUCCCCUGAGGCAACUUUUUGACAAUUUGACCUCAAAUCAGGUAGGACUACCCGCUGAACUUAAGCAUAUCAAUAAGCGGAGGA